UGGGGAAUAUUGGACAAUGGGCGAAAGCCUGAUCCAGCCAUGCCGCGUGUGUGAAGAAGGUCUUCGGAUUGUAAAGCACUUUAAGUUGGGAGGAAGGGCAGUAAGCGAAUACCUUGCUGUUUUGACGUUACCGACAGAAUAAGCACCGGCUAACUCUGUGCCAGCAGCCGCGGUAAUACAGAGGGUGCAAGCGUUAAUCGGAAUUACUGGGCGUAAAGCGCGCGUAGGUGGUUCGUUAAGUUGAAUGUGAAAGCCCCGGGCUCAACCUGGGAACUGCAUCCAAAACUGGCGAGCUAGAGUAGGGCAGAGGGUGGUGGAAUUUCCUGUGUAUCGGUGAAAUGCUUAGAUAUAGGAAGGAACACCAGUGGCGAAGGCGACCACCUGGGCUCAUACUGACACUGAGGUGCGAAAGCGUGGGGAGCAAACAGG
rnacentral:rRNA from 1 species